rnacentral:rRNA from 1 species
GACGAACGCUGGCGGCGUGCCUAAUACAUGCAAGUCGAGCGCAGGAAACUGACGGAACUCUUCGGAGGGAAGGCAGUGGAAUGAGCGGCGGACGGGUGAGUAACACGUAAGGAACCUGCCUCAAGGAUUGGGAUAACUCCGAGAAAUCGGAGCUAAUACCGGAUAGUUCAACGGACCGCAUGGUCCGCUGAUGAAAGGCGCUUCGGCGUCACCUUGAGAUGGCCUUGCGGUGCAUUAGCUGGUUGGUGGGGUAACGGCCCACCAAGGCGACGAUGCAUAGCCGACCUGAGAGGGUGGUCGGCCACACGGGGACUGAGACACGGCCCAGACUCCUACGGGAGGCAGCAGUAGGGAAUCUUCCACAAUGGACGAAAGUCUGAUGGAGCAACGCCGCGUGAGUGAUGAAGGUUUUCGGAUCGUAAAACUCUGUUGUAGGGGAAGAACACGUACGAGAGGGAAUGCUCGUACCUUGACGGUACCUUACGAGAAAGCCACGGCUAACUACGUGCCAGCCGCCGCGGUAA